ACCCGCUGAACUUAAGCAUAUCAAUAAGCGGAGGAAAAGAAACCAACAGGGAUUGCCCUAGUAACGGCGAGUGAAGCGGCAACAGCUCAAAUUUGAAAUCUGGCGUCUUUGGCGUCCGAGUUGUAAUUUGCAGAGGGCGCUUUGGCAUUGGCAGCGGUCCAAGUUCCUUGGAACAGGACGUUACAGAGGGUGAGAAUCCCGUACGUGGUCGCUAGCCUUUACCGUGUAAAGCCCCUUCGACGAGUCGAGUUGUUUGGGAAUGCAGCUCUAAAUGGGAGGUAAAUUUCUUCUAAAGCUAAAUACUGGCCAGAGACCGAUAGCGCACAAGUAGAGUGAUCGAAAGAUGAAAAGCACUUUGGAAAGAGAGUUAAAAAGCACGUGAAAUUGUUGAAAGGGAAGCGCUUGCAGCCAGACUUGCCUGUAGUUGCUCAUCCGGGUUUUUACCCGGUGCACUCUUCUAUAGGCAGGCCAGCAUCAGUUUGGGCGGUUGGAUAAAGGUCUCUGUCAUGUACCUCUCUUCGGGGAGAACUUAUAGGGGAGACGACAUGCAACCAGCCCGGACUGAGGUCCGCGCAUCUGCUAGGAUGCUGGCGUAAUGGCUGU
rnacentral:rRNA from 1 species